rnacentral:lncRNA from 1 species
CCCUCAGGAGGAAGGGGCGGGGAGAUCCCAGCUACUAGAGGACGCCCGUUCCAAUGGCAACUCUGCCAAGGCGCCUAUGAGAGCCUCUUGGCUUUUACCUGGUCUGCGAGAAAUCAAACUUUGGGCACAAGUCAUGAAGCCGACAAGCCCGGGAGACACAGUGUCAGAAUUACAAGGUCUCGCAUCUGGGGCUCGAUCUCGUGCAGAGGAGCAUUUCCGAAGACACUGGCCGCUCCCACAAUGGCUCCGAAGAACCCAGCGACCAGCGGGUUCAUGAGUUUGUUGGGGCUGUCCACUCGGUACCAGCUGCGCAGGGAUGUCAGGACAAAGAAACAAGUUGCCUGGUUCCAGCCCUGCUUCAGCACGGGGCCUGUGGGGCCCCGGUAAGUCCCGGUGUUCCCGCACAAUCUCCUAACCCUGUGGAAGAAUCCCCUGUACUUGGAUUUGGAGAGGUCUGGCCAUGGAUUAACUUCACCUUGAUGGUCUCCAUGGGACAUAGGACCACCACGGCCUCGGCCACGCUAGCUCACUGGCCGCACCGCUGCCCGCCUUGCUGUUCACCAGUCCCUGGGCAUCCCGCAUCUGGUUGCUGAGGAACGCCUGACGCCGCCUUGUGGAUGAAGCCGCAGAGCAGGGAGCUGAGGCUGCGGCCCAGGCCCAGGCUGCCUUGGCUGCGACUGUGUGCCUGCAGGCCCCAUGCCCGGUAUCCGGUGGAUGCGAGUGCUAGUCCAGCUGCAGCUGCAUCUUCACGAACUCGGCUGGAGUGCAGUGGCGCGAUCUUGGCUCACUACAACCUGGAUUCAAGCGAUUCUCCUGCCUCAGCCUCCCGAGUAGCUGGGAUUACAGGCAUGUGCCACCAUUCCCGGCUAAUUUUUUUGUCUUUUUAGUAGAGACGGUGUUUCCCCAUGUUGGUCAGGCUGGUCUCAAACGCCUGACUCAGAUGAUCCGCCCGCCUCGGCCACCCAAAGUGCUGAGAUUACAGGCUUGAACCACCGCGCCUGGCCCUGUGAUGUAGAUUUUGAUGCUGCCAGCCAGGCUGCCUGCCGGGAUCGCCUGCCCUGGAGCAGGAGCAUCAGCCGUGCGUUCCAGGACGCAGGCAUGGCAUGACCGGCAGGAGGCGGAGUGCCCGGCGUCUCUUGGGAUCGGAGCCUCCUGAAUUCCACGCUGGGACCUUAAUUUGGUUUUAACACAAAUAAAGAUCUCACAUAAAGAUAAAA